GCCGGGCCGGAGAAUCCCCUGCAUGGGGGCGGGGGGCGCUGACGCGCGGUGACGUGCGGCGCCGGUAGCCCUCCCCGGGCCGGGCGGUGCCGCGCCGAGGGGCGCAGGAGUGGCGGUGACGUGCGGCGCCGGUAGCCCUCCCCGGGCCGGGCGGUGCCGCGCCGAGGGGCGCAGGAGUGGCGGUGACGUGCGGCGCCGGUAGCCCUCCCCGGGCCGGGCGGUGCCGCGCCGAGGGGCGCAGGAGUGGCGGUGACGUGCGGCGCCGGUAGCCCUCCCCGGGCCGGGCGGUGCCGCGCCGAGGGGCGCAGGAGUGGCGGCGACCAGAGACAGAAUCGGCUGCCGGCCUGCGACAUCCGCAGGCCUCCGGUGAGGGCAGCUCCGCCGUGCCGGGGCAUUGCCGUCCCGCCUGAGGUACCGCAGUUGAGAAGCGGGGGCGGGCGGCAGCGCCUGGAUGUGCCGCCUGAGGCGGAAGGGAAGCCCAGGGAGGGUCUCGGGGAGCGGCACGGCAGCGUUUAGAACAAAACAAAGGAGUAAAAAGAGCGAUCGUCAGAAGUCGGAGAAGAGCCCCUGGCUAAGAGACCGCGGUCCCCUCAGCCCACACAUGCGCCCACACAUCAGCCCCGCUCCCUGCCUUGGGAGCGCUGAAGUGCCCUCAUGAGCCCUGCAGGCCCGCCUGGGAGCAGCUUUUCCCGGCGGAGCGGACACCUUCGGCAGCCCGGCUGUGAGAAGGAAGGCUCCGCUUCCUGCUGCGGUGAUCGAGCGAAAGAGACAAAAAGCAAACCCCAAACCUCAAAGUUUGGUUUUUCAAAAUCCAGCGGUUGCAGGGCACAAAAGCACAGGCGGCUGGGAAGUGGCAAAGCACAGCCUGGAGCCUCCUGGGUUCUCGGUGAGAGGAGAAGCGUGAAGGGGCUGAGCACGUCUGCAGGAGCGUGGAGCAGCCUGCUGCACCCUGGUUACGAACACCAAGGGGAUGGACUCCUUUGUUUCCAAGCGUGUGUUCAGAGACAAACGCUACAGCACUUGCAAACUUGAGGAGGUACCGAAAAAAAAAACAAUGGGUGAAAAAAUCAUUCCCCAUCACUGUUUGAUUUCAGGAACUGGAAAACACUGGCUGGCACUAUCAAAAAUCAGGUAUUUUUAAGGAGAGGAAAGUGCUUCAGUGGCUCUGAGUUCCCAUUUGAACGCUGCGUGGCUUAGUAAGCCCCUACCUUCUGAUAAAGCUGCAGAAGAAGUCUCAAACCGUUCUAUGUUGCCAAUUAAUUAGCAUGACCGAGGGAACAAGCUGGUACACCCCAUAGCUCAGAAUGUGUCCUCCUGCUGAUUGUUUUAAACUCGGAAGUCGUCCUACAAACAAGUAUAUGGUGUAAGAUGUUGCCGUCUUUGAUGGAAGGAGUGUGAGAACCUGCUUCACAAAGCUAACCACUAGCAGUUCCCUGCUGCUGAGCCUGCUGAAGAGAGUUGCCUGUUGUGAAUGUGUCACUGCAGCGACAGCCAGCUGGCAUGUCGGCAUUUCCAAAGGAAGCCAAGUGCUCACCAGCAGUCAUCCCUGCAUGAAACGUGGCAGUGGCAAGGAGCAGGUGAUGGUGAGGAACCAGAGAGCCGGCGAGCAGAAGGUGCCUUGCUGAGGUGGAAGCAGACACUGCCCCUGUGCUCGAAGGAAAACCUGAGAGUGCUCUUUAGUAACUGCAGGAGGCCAGGAUGGGAGCUGGAGCCGUACCCAAAACCCAACAGCAACCUCUGCGGCCAUGCUGAGGUAUUGAUUGUGCAGUGACUCAAAGGCCACCCGCAGGCCUGGCCACCAGCAGCCUCUCGGGGGGAGCCGCCGGAGCUACACACACUCCCCUGCCCGGGCAGCCCCGGCAGAGCCACGCAGAGCCUGCGUGGAGAGGCAAGCAGGACUUGCUCUCAUCUGCUCUGUCCUCCCCAGCAGGGAGCCAUGGGAGCAGUCACUGCUCCAAGCAUGAGGCUGGCAGCUCAUCUGCACCUUGGGCUACCUGGCAACCUGGCACCAGCCAGAGGCAGAAGAGAUGCUCCCAAAUAAGGCUCUCAGGCAGCAUCACUUGGUAAACCAGAAGGGGAAAGAAGCACCUGUUACACAGCCAGAGCUGGGGCUUGCUGGGCCAAGUCGUCACCUGGGAGGGUGAGACAAAUCCAGAAGAGCCUCAGCUACCACCACCUACUCUCUUCUAGGCCACUCAAGUUUGUAAGUCUCAAACCAGCAAGAAAGCUUUUGAAUAGGGCUUCAGCUGCUCUGACCAAAAUCAAGCUUAGGGAGAAAAUGACAGAAUCAAGGAAUCCAGGACACCUUGGGUGGAGAGAGACAUAUAAAGGUUAUCUGGUCUGACCCCCUCCCCUGCAGGGGACAUCUUCAGCUGGAGCAGGUUGCUCAGAGCCUCAUCCAGCCUGACCUGGAAUGGUUCCAAGGAUGAGGCAUCUACCACCUUUUGGGGCAGACUGAGCCAGUGUCUCACCACUCACAGCAUUAAAGAGUUUUUCUUCCA